rnacentral:rRNA from 1 species
GAUGAACGCUGGCGGCGUGCCUAAUACAUGCAAGUCGAGCGAACAGACGAGGAGCUUGCUCCUCUGACGUUAGCGGCGGACGGGUGAGUAACACGUGGAUAACCUACCUAUAAGACUGGGAUAACUUCGGGAAACCGGAGCUAAUACCGGAUAAUAUAUUGAACCGCAUGGUUCAAUAGUGAAAGACGGUUUUGCUGUCACUUAUAGAUGGAUCCGCGCCGCAUUAGCUAGUUGGUAAGGUAACGGCUUACCAAGGCAACGAUGCGUAGCCGACCUGAGAGGGUGAUCGGCCACACUGGAACUGAGACACGGUCCAGACUCCUACGGGAGGCAGCAGUAGGGAAUCUUCCGCAAUGGGCGAAAGCCUGACGGAGCAACGCCGCGUGAGUGAUGAAGGUCUUCGGAUCGUAAAGCUCUGUUAUUAGGAAAGAACAAAUGUGUAUGUAACUAUGCACGUCUUGACGGUACCUAAUCAAUAAGCCACGGCUAACUACGUG